rnacentral:tRNA from 1 species
UAUUUACGUAGUUUAAACAGUUAAAACCUUGUGUUUUCAUCACAAAAAUAAAUUUAUAUUUCGUAAAU